CCCUAAACGUGUUCGAUAGAAUGCUCUAAACUGUUCAUCGCUUGAAUCAAAGGGCGGCGAGAGCUCCCAGAGCACCCGCUGUGACCAACGCCAAGAACUCCGCGGUGUCUUAUUCACCUCACUAACGUAAUGGCCACCAGGCGACUAAGAGCGUUCAAGCGGUGGAUGAAUUCCCAAGGAAUCGAGUACAGCGGCGCGCUGGGCUUCGUUGACAGUCCCGAAGGCGACGGUAUCUCCGUGAGAGCGCUGUGCGAUCUCAAGGAAGGCGAUGUGGUGGCGAGAAUACCCAAGGCUACGUGCCUCACCAUCCAGACUAGUGGGGCGCGCGACGUGAUCGAAUCCGUUGGAUUUGGUGGUUAUCUGGGGCUAGCGGUGGCGCUCAUGUACGAGAGGAGCUUAGGAGAAAGCUCGCCCUGGGCUGACUACCUCCAACUCUUGCCUUGCCAGGAGUGCUUACCCUUGCUCUGGACUCUGGACGAGGUGGACUUUCUCCUACGUGGAACUGAGCUCCACAAGACUAUGAAAGAAGACAAAGCUCUUAUAUACGAGGACUGGAAAGAGAAUAUUCUUCCCCUCUUGGAUUCACAGCAUUUUAAUCUGAAUCCAAUAUUUUUCGGCAUUGAACAAUACUUUGCCGCUAAAAGUCUUAUCUACUCUCGGUCUUUCGAGAUAGACGAUUACCAUGGAUUUGGAAUGGUUCCUUUGGCUGAUCUUUUUAAUCACAAGACAGGAGCUGAGGAUGUACACUUCACCUCUGUAUCUUCCAACUCUGACUCUGAAAGUGAUGCUGACUGCAAGAAAAAUGAUAUGCAUGCCAAUACUGGUGAUAAUGAACCAUCCAUUAAAACUUAUUCAGAUGUGGAAGGAUCAAAUACCACCCUUGUCGGGAAGAAUCCUUGUCAUGGUAGUGACUUCGAUUGCUCUUCAGUUCUUGGGGAUCAUACCACAAUGCUGGAAAUGGUUAUGGUGAAAGAUGUUGAAGUUGGAGCUGAGAUCUUCAAUACAUAUGGAUCAUUGGGAAAUGCUGCAUUGCUUCACAGAUAUGGAUUCACAGAACCAAAUAAUCCAUUCGACAUUGUAAAUAUUGACUUGGAACUAGUACUCCAAUGGACUUCAUCUCUGUUUUCUAGUCGGUACAGUAGAGCAAGGCUAUCCCUGUGGAGAAGAUUGGAUUUCUCUGGAUGUGUCAGUGAGAACACCGAGUAUUUUGAGAUCUCAUUUGAUGGGGAACCCCAAAUUGAGCUGCUAAUAUUAUUGUACACAAUGUUGUUGCCAGAGGAUACAUAUUAUGAUUUGGAUUUAAGAGUGUCAACUGCAGGGAACUUUAAUGGGGCCAUAGGCAUGAUUUUGUUGAAAGAAGGCAAGUCAAUGUGGAAAGAAGCUUCGGAAUUGAGCGGGGAUAUGUUGUUGACAAAGGAUGUUUGUAAUGCUCUCUGUUCUCUGGCAGACAUGCGAGAGUGUUUCUAUACUUCUAAUUCAAUAGAAGAUGAUAUUAAAGCACUUGAGAAUUGUUGCAUAAUAAGAGAGAGAAAGUUGUACCAUUCUUUAAUGUUGCGUGUCAGCGAGAGGAGGAUACUGAAGAGGCUCAAAGCUUAUGCUGCUGUUGGUGCUCGGUCUAAGUUGCUAAGUGAUCCUCGUCGACGAAGAAGGUGAGGAAGACAUGAAAGUUGAGCCAGUCUCUUUAACCAGCAUUCCUGGGGGUUUCUUAUUGAACCAAUGUGUUACAACUGGCAAUCAGUAGGUAAUCUCAUCAUUUGGGGAUCUGGAAUGUGAAACUUUCGAGUCGCUCUCUAUUGGGAAUUCAUCUUUUGUCUAUUUCAUAUGGUUUGGGAUGGAGACAUUCAUUUUGUAGGCUGCUCAUGCAAGUUUUGAGGAUGGAGAGAGGUGGAGCUUCGAGAGGAGGGUAAGAUGGAAAAGUGGGGGUUAUGCUCAUGUCAAGAUGAGGCUUGCUUUUCGGGCCAUGUUGCUUUUAUCAAUGUACCUAACGUUUGCUUUAUGCAUAGUAUUACUUGGGAUGAGUUGAAUUCAGUCAUAUAUGAUUAAUUAAAUUGUGUUUUGUGCAUAGUUGAACGCCUUCACCGUAUGAGAUGAGUUGAGAGAAGCUUUUAUCUCAACUCAUUAACCAAACCUCACCAUGUAUGGGAAAUUACAGAAAUGUGUUUUAUUCAAAAGCAGCUACCCUUAAAAUUCAUUUGCACUAUUCUAUCCUCAAAUAAUAUUUUGGAUUGAUUU